rnacentral:tRNA from 1 species
GGUACCAUGGCCGAGUGGUUAGGCAGCGGUCUGCAAAACCGCGUACUGCAGUUCGAAUCUGCAUGGUACCU